CACAAAGGUUUGAUCCUGGCCUUAAAAUCAAUUCUUACUUAACUUACACAUGCAAGUUUCCGCACCCCAGUGAAAAAUUGCCCCUUUCUUCUGCAAGAACAAAUGGAGCUGGCAUCAAGCACUACUUUUGCUCAAGACGCCUAGUCCCACCACAUCCCCAAGGAUAUACAGCAGUGAUUAACAUUGAAUAUAAGCGCCAGCUCGAUUCAGUUAAAGUAAUCUCGGGCCGGCAAACAUGGUGCCAGCCGCCGCGGCUAAACCAUACGGGCCCAAAUUGAUUUCCGUCGGCGUAAAGAGUGGUUAAAGCUAACCCUUCCAUUAGAGUUAAACUUAAACUAUGUCGUGAAAAUCUAGUUUGAAGGAAACUCAGAUACGAAAGUUACUCUAAUUAUACUUGACCCCACGACAGUUAGGACAUAAACUUGGAUUAGAUACCCAACUAUACCUAACUAUAAACUUUAAUUUACACUACAAUCGCCAGGGAACUAUGAGCAAAGCUUAGAACCCAAAGGACUUGACGGUACCCCAUAACCCCUAGAGGAGCCUGUCUUAUAAUCGACGAUCCCCGCUACACCCUACCACUUUUAGCUAAUCAGUCUGUAUACUUCCGUCUUCAGCCCAUCGCGUGAGCGACACUCAACGAGCUAAAUGUUUAUUCAACAAUACGACAGGUCAAAGUGCAACUAAUAAAAGUGGACAAAGAUGGGCUACACUCUCUAAGCUAGAAAAUACGGAAGACCAACAUGAAACCUUUUCUGAAGGUGGAUCUAGAAGUAAAAAGAAAAUAGAAAAUUCUUUUUAAUCCAAAAAUUGGGGUGUGUACACACCGCCCGUCACCCUCUUCAAAGCACAUUAUAAAGUAUUUUAACUUCUCAUCGCAUCCAAGAAGAGGUAAGUCGUAACAUGGUAAGUAUACUGGAAAGUAUGCUUGGAAA
rnacentral:ncRNA from 1 species